rnacentral:sRNA from 2 species
AGAAAUUAUCGGUAGGUGAGGCUACCACAGGGAUACGGGUUACUGCCGCAAAGUAGUGGAGACACUAUGAGUGGGCCAACAGUCCAUAUCGACUCAAGGUAUGGAAUAGUGUAACAACAUUGCUCUGUGAAGCUAAAACUUGAACGAUGGCUUUGUAU